rnacentral:rRNA from 1 species
CCUACGGGUGGCAGCAGUGGGGAAUAUUGCACAAUGGGGGAAACCCUGAUGCAGCGACGCCGCGUGAGUGAAGAAGUAAUUCGUUACGUAAAGCUCUAUCAGCAGGGAAGAAAUACUGACCUUACGGUCAGCAGACGGUACCUGAGUAAGAAGCGCCGGCUAACUCCGUGCCAGCAGCCGCGGUAAUACGUAGGGGGCAAGCGUUAUCCGGAUUUACUGGGUGUAAAGGGAGCGUAGACGGUGCGGCAAGUCUGGAGUGAAAGGGCGCGGCUGAACUGCGGAACUGCUUUGGAAACUGGCGAACUAGAGUGCGAGAGCGGUAAGCGGAAUGCGUAGUGUAGCGGUGAAAUGCGUAGAUAU